UGAGGAAUCUUGCGCAAUGGGGGAAACCCUGACGCAGCAACGCCGCGUGAGUGAAGAAGGCCUUCGGGUCGUAAAGCUCUGUCAGAUGGGAAGAAAUGGAUGGGGGCUAAUAUCGUCCAUCCUUGACGGUACCAUCAGAGGAAGCACCGGCUAACUACGUGCCAGCAGCAGCGGUAAUACGGGGGGUGCAAGCGUUGGUCGGAAUCAUUGGGCGUAAAGCGCGCGCAGGCGGCUUGGUAAGUCAGAUGUGAAAUCCCUGGGCUUAACCCAGGAAGUUCAUUUGAUACUGCCUCGCUAGAGUACUGGAGAGGAAAGUGGAAUUCCUUGUGUAGAGGUGAAAUUCGUAGAUAUCAGGAGGAACACCGGUGGCGAAGGCGACUUUCUGGCCCGAUACUGACGCUCAGGCGCGAAAGCGUGGGGAGCAAACA
rnacentral:rRNA from 1 species